rnacentral:sRNA from 1 species
UGGAAACCCAGCAAACUCAGAAACUUGUCUUAAGGUUACAUAGCUGUGAGUUGCACAUCGUCUGUUCCAAACCCAGAAGCGUCUGCCCCAAAGUGCAUGUUCUGGUCCUCACUGCCUGUGAAUGUUGUGAUCUGUCCAGGUGAGAUGGAGGAGCUGGAGACCCUGUGGCUCACUGGGAUCUGCCACAACGAGAAGAACGAGGUGAUGAGCAGCCAGCUGGACAUUGACAACAUGGCGGGCGUAUUCUACAUGCUGGCUGCCGCCAUGGCCCUUAGCCUCAUCACCUUCAUCUGGGAGCACCUCUUCUACUGGAAGCUGCGCUUCUGUUUCACAGGCGUGUGCUCCGACCGGCCUGGAUUGCUCUUCUCCAUCAGCAGGGGCAUUUACAGCUGCAUUCAUGGAGUGCACAUUGAAGAAAAGAAGAAGUCUCCAGACUUCAAUCUGACGGGAUCCCAGAGCAACAUGUUAAAACUCCUCCGGUCAGCCAA